rnacentral:rRNA from 1 species
UACAGAGGGUGCGAGCGUUAUUCGGAAUUACUGGGCGUAAAGCGCACGUAGGUGGCGACGUAAGUCGGGUGUGAAAGCCCCGGGCUCAACCUGGGAAUUGCAUUCGAGACUGCAUUGCUGGAGUACGGAAGAGGAGGGCGGAAUUCCCGGUGUAGCGGUGAAAUGCGUAGAUAUCGGGAGGAACAUCAGUGGCGAAGGCGGCCCUCUGGUCCAGUACUGACACUCAAGUGCGAAAGCGUGGGGAGCAAACAGG